ACAUAUUUACAACUGGAUUCAAUUUUAAGUCAGAAAUAAAAGUUGUUCAAGUUUCAGACAUUAUAUGAUGUGGCAUGUGCAUGCUUUACAGUUACCUUGCAAGUCUCGUGAUGUUGUAUAGAUAUUUCUUUAUCUAUAUUAAUGUCAGACCCUGCGUGAUUGAUCUUAUUUUAUUCCUAUGUGAGAACUAGCUCUCCUUUAGUAAUGUAGUACUUUAUACUAAACUGAACUGGGAAUGGUUUGAUUGCUCUCCGUAGGACAGUGUUAUUUCUUCUCAUAGAAUGUUGUCAUCUAUAUCUUGCUGAAUGUACAUAACUAUAUUUUUGCAUGAUACUAUGUUUUUGCUAUGCCAGUCAUAUAAGUUAUUUAUUUUCUACAGGUUGUUACAUCUCCAAAGAGGAUUCCAGCAGCAAAACUUCAUGGUCAGCUUGAAUGGAAGCCCUCGCUCAGGUCUUACUCUAGCUCUCUUCUAGAGUGGUUGUGACACCACCGCACGCAAGGUAUUCACCAAGAACUAGAAGGUUUUGGACACCAUGGGUAUGGCUACAUUCGUGGAUGUAUGAAAUUUGCGGCCAUUUCAAUUAAGCCUUUUUUACACCUACUGGAUGCUAAGGGCAGCAAGAAAUAAAGUAGUAUGUUGCAUUUUUCCUAUAGGUAAGGAAACAUGUACCCUAUUUCUGCAAAGAUGUGCUCUACUUUUUUAUUCCAUGAGUAUUUGCAUUCCCUAUAGAAGCUGAAUGGUUACAUGUAUGUUUAGUACACCAUCAUAAUCUCCCAAAUACUGCACUCAUUUAUACUUUCCCGCCCAUAUUUAAAAUAGCGUGUUUUAGUUCUGAUUACAGCCAUAUAGGUAUUCAUGUAUAAGAUCGCCUGCCUUUAGUUCUGGUUAAAUCAACUUGGAUGAUCAAUCAAAUUUCCAGUGAUGAUACUCUAGCGGAUUAGGCUUCUAAACCACUAUCACUUUCGUGACGGAAGUUGUGCAUGUAGUACAUGUUUUCAGUUCAGCAAGCUCUUUUUUAGUUAGAGAUCGAUUUUGAAGACUAACAUGUCAUAUGAAUGCUCCCAGCUUAGCAAAAGCCUUGAUCUUUCCAAUUUUGUAAGUUGAGGGAAUACUUUGCGACUUCAAAAUCUCCAGAUAAAAGUUGAAGAAUUCAUACGAUAGUCGAUUGGAAACAUAUAUCUAGCAGUUCAUUUUUUUAUGCGCACAAUGGGAUAAAUUGAUGUAACACAAGCCUUUACAAUUUAGUGCUAUUGUUAUUAGAAUCGGGAGACUUGCUUUGUUACCAUACUUAGAGUUGCCGAUUGUUUACUAUAGUACUCCCUCCGUUCCUAAAUGUAAGUAUUUUUAGACAUUUCAAAUGGACUACAACAUACGGAUGUAUGUAGACAUCUUUUAGAAUGUAGAUUCACUCAUUUUGCUUCGUAUGUAGUCACUUAUUGGAAUCUCUAAAAAGACUUAUAUUUGGGAACAGAGGGAGUAAUAGCCAGGAAGGUUUGUAGUCAACUUAUUUGCAGUUGUAAUUAGUCGACUUAUGCUCCUUAAAUUGUUGGUCUUUGGUGACCAGUGAAUGGGCAAUUGACUCUCUGGCGUAUAUGGCUGAUCUAAUUGUUGGGAAAAUCUUCAACACAUUGUACUCCCUCCGUCCGGAAAUACUUGUCGAAGAAAUGCCUAAAAAUGAAUGUAUCUAGAACUAAAAUACAUCUAGGUACAAAUAUUUCUCCGACGAGUAUUUCUGGACGGAGGGAGUAAUAUGAAAGGUUUUAUGCCGCAAAAAAAAUCAAAGGUUUUGAUUUUUUUUCUUGGGACUUCUUCGUACACUUUUUACUAUUGUAUUCACUAUAAUUUUCCUAUAUUGAACUGAUUUUCCGCUUGUAUUGUAGAUAUCAAGUCUUAGAGAAGGAAGUUUUGUAUGGCAGUCAACUCUCUUCUCUGGUUCAGAUUCAUAGUUAAAUACCCCAUUCUUCUUUCUUCAGCCCUUGACAUUUUCUCCUACUUGCUAAUGCAGGAUGGAAAACUGCCUGUUACAUGUAGUCUUCAAAACCUGUGCUGAAAUGGCGCUUCUUUCUUUGGAAAGUAUACAAUAUUGCAAAACUUUUGGCUGUAUCAAAUAGUUUUCAAGUUGUUUCAGUGACAUCCAUAAGUGAGCAAACUUGUAGUGGUGUGUAAUGUUCACUAAACUUAAAACAGCUUGCGCCAUGUCUUUCUUCCGCAACGCAAAAGCUAGAUUAAUUUACCGUCCAUCCGUCAAGUGAGCUCAAGCACAAAUUCUGAACAUUCAGACAACCAACCAAGAUGUAGGUGCAUUAGAGCAUGGAAAAGGCAAAGUUCCCAAAGAGUAAUUGAUAUUUCCUUCACUGAUGAUGACGAAAACAACUGAAAAGGGCCAGAAGUAUCAACCUAUACUCCCUA